GGACAUUCGAGGAUAGAUUUGGUGCUCCCUGACUUCUCGAAAACACACUCCGUUUUUCUCAAAAUCUUCAAUUCGGGUACUCCUGUUGAUUUGGCGCAACACAUGCGCGGCCACCGCCACGCCGGCCCGCCCACGGGUGCCCCGCCUUCGGCUGCGGCCGCCACCGUUUCGCCGCCACGCCGCUGCACAUGGCUUGCUACGAGCCGCCGCUACACUACACCUCGUGGCACAACGACCACCUCGCGCGCGCCCACCGCGCCAGCCGCGGUGCCCCAUCGGCGCCGGCGGCGAGCAUCUUGUGCGUCUGCAGCGACACAAGCGUGAAGCAGGUGCCGUGGUGACCAUGAGGACAACCCAGAAGAACGUGGUGGCCACGUGGUUUUCCCCUUCGAUUGCUGGACACGGUCAACGGAUUUCGGAGAAGUGCGGGCGCCUCCGAUGUGCCUGUUCGUCGUCGGAGACUCGCGAGUCUCGGAGGAGAGGCUGGCGUGAUUUCUUGAUCAGGAUCGAUGAGUCUCUCUCCGAUCGUGGUGGUCGGGGAAGUUGGCAAGCGGGAGGUGGCCGCGACGCGCUCCAGGUGUUCGACAGAAAGCCUAGCUGGCCCAACUAGACGGAACAGAGGGGCCUGAUCGACACCUUUUGAGCACCUUGAAGCAAGUGGCGCACCGAGCAAUGGCAGAGGCAGCUCGUCGUUGCUGUUGAGGCUGCACGCACGCACGCGCCGGAAGAGGUGCGGCUGGUGGUCGUGGACGUGCUGCUUGCUGCUGCUACUAGUUGGUGCUGCUCUGCUCGAUCGGCAAACAGCAGUGGCCGGUGCCUGCAAUCGUCAUCUCCAGCUUGUCCCUGCACGCAUUGGACUCACAAUUACAAUGUUCCAAGAUGACGUUCCCAAAAUCCAUCAUCAACACCUCACAUUGUUCAAAGACUAGAGCCGCCGACCCGAAUUCAUAUCCCUGGAUUGAAUCGCCAAAGAAGGUUGAACACGUUCGUGAAAGCGUGGAGGAUGAAAUCCGUGGGAGGCGGGACACGAAGCGAGCCAUUCAUGGCUUCUUUGCUUAGCUACACUUGUUGGCUUUUUUUCUCAUUGAUGGACAAUGGAUGGAAGGUCAAUGAGUCCGUCUGGCUCAACGGGACUGGCACUGUGCUCUACUUUGUCUAUCUGAUGAUGUUUCUUUGCUACACGGACGAAGCCCAUCGAUGGAUCACAAUCGAGAGGUGGGUUCCCGGUGCUGUGUUUUACCUGUUUUUCAUAGCAAUCUUUGGAGUUCUGGCCGAGUGGACCUCGGUCGUCAAGGUGAUGUGCACGCUCGCUGGACUGGCCUCCGGGUGCACAUCACUCGUGCUGGCUGUGUCUGUGCUCGAGAGGAAGUUGGAGUCCUUGCCUGAUUGUGUGUCCACGACAGUGAGCCUACUUCACUAUUGCGUGUGGAUCACUCGUGACGCUAUCGACCCAAGAGAUUACUUUGAUAUGGUAAGUGGCUACAAAUUCCCCCUUAAUUAAGUCCCUAUCAAAUUCUGUCCCAAAUAUGAAAACUCUGCGACAAACGGACGCGCAAGUCCAAAAUGUUUGCGGCUUUGGUUGCUGCUUGGCUUUCCUCGCCCUGCCGUUCCUGCCCUUCUUCUGGACGGGGGAUGGGACGCGGGCCAAGCCAACACUGGCAGAUGAGGACGACCCCAACAGGCCACUUAUCUCUCUGCGUGGCGAACCACCCGCACCGCUGCAUCAGCCGCUGACUGCCGUCAACCCGCAUGCUACUGAGCUCGUCAACCUGCCGGCCACCAAUGUGUUCCAGGAGCCCAGGAGGGCGGGUUCGGCUCCAUCCACACCGAAGAACCAAGUUGAUGAUAGAUACACGCAGGGUGGUUUCGGCUCCAUCCACACCGAAUUAGUAAGUUGAUGAUACGCACAGAUGCUGGCUUCCUUAAUCAUGUGCCAGCAGUGCCAGAUCCAAGAGACAAAUCAAAUUCUGUCUUUUAUGCAAAAGAUUUUUUUUGACAUUCUGUACGGAGUACUGUAUAAUCCAUCUCCAAGAGACAAAUCAAAUUAGGAAACAGUUCUGAGACGCCACAUGUAUGUUUUUUCAAGAAUUUUGCAGAGAUGACGAAAUGUUCAUGUUUCAGCGAUU